GUCUGUUUGUCUUUUCUAGGGCUGCAGCUGCAGCAUAUGGAGGUUCCCAGGCUAGGGGUCGAACCAGAGAUAUAGCUGCUGGUCUACACCAGAGCCACAGCAAUGCCAGAUCCAAGCCAUGUCUGUGACCUACACCACAGCUCAUGGCAAUGCCGGAUCCUUAACCCACUGAGUGAGGCCAGAGAUCGAACCCACAACCUCAUGGUUCCUAGUCGGAUUCGUUAACCACUGAGCCACGACAGGAACUUGGGUUAUUGUUGUUGUUGCUUGUUUGUUUGUUUUGCUUUUUAGGGUGGCACCUGCAGCAUAUGGAGGUUCCCAGGCUAGGUGAAAACAUCUGAUCAUGACACUGUCUUACUUAAAAUCUUUCGCUGACUACACCACCUGUAGGAGUGUCCAGAUUUCUUAAGGUGGUUGGUUGGACUCUAAACUUCCCUUCCACUCUCACAUUCCUUGUCCAACCUUCCAGGUAAUCUUUGAACCACAGCUUCCUCUGGGCUAUCACAUACUAGUCCCUCUAUUGAUAACUUUCUUCCUUUUCCCCUUCUUCUCCUUUGCCUGCUUAACUCUUCGUCCUCUAGGUCUUGCCUCAGAUGUUACUAGGUUAGGAACCCCCCCACACACACACACUCAUUAAAUCUUCCCUGCCAGACUGAGUUCCUGAGGCAUCUAGCACAGUCUCUGACACAUGAUAGCUCAAUGUGUUCAGUGAACGAUGUGGUAGAGAAAAUGGAUUGGAGAAGGUCACUGGCCAGCAGCACUAGCGAUCCAGGUGAAACAGGCUUGCAGCGACACUGUGCAGGGGGUGUAGCAACUUUCCCUAUGUAACAGCUUUGAAAGGAUGGCUUCUCAAGCAGAAAUAUAAAUUCUGUAACUUUUGUCUUUAAAAUGUUACUUAAAAGUGUUACUUACUCAUCCAGUUACUUCACUAAGCUCUCUCUUCAAUAAGCAUGAAGAUGAGCAGCAGAAGAAAACUAGGGUCCUCAUAGGCAGCUCCCUAGCACUGCAGAAAUGGUGCGGAAGCACUGGAGGAUAAAGCCUUCAGGUCAAAAUUCACCUCCUGUUCCAAGGCAGGAGCUCUCUGCUCCGCAGCUCUGCUCACCUGCCACCCUGACAGCCCAGCACGGGGACUGCAGCUCAGACAACUCCGGGGUCUGUACCUUUAAGUGAUGUGAAAGGCAGGUGGGUUCAUUCUAAGAAUCUCCUUUGCCAAAACAGUUUUCACCUUCCCCAGCCUCUCACAGCCUCUGGCCCAGGAACGCAGUUCCCUUUUCUGAAGAAAGGCCUCCCUACCCUUACCCCACUCUUAUCUCCUGCCUAAUUCCAGUCUGUCGGUACUGACCUCAAAUGCUGCCUCUUCCUCCGACCCUUCUCUCCCCCGACUCCCACAGCAUCUUACACCCACCACUGUCAUUCCCACAACACAUAUGUAUUGAGACUUACUGGGUACUAGAUGCUUGCUUCUUCUAGAUGCUGGAGAGAGCAAUAAACAAACAAACGGACCAAAUGUCCUGCCCUCGCAAGGGCUCCCAUUCUAACACCACACUGAAUCCAAACUGUGCCUAUCCCGUUACCAGCAUGGGCCACAUCUUACUCAUUUUCACAGCUCGGUGCCCAGGUCAGAGACCGGCACAGAAUGCAGGUGCCAAGUGUAACUGAACUCAGCUGAAUGCCCAUCACAAGAACAAGUGUUCAGGACCCCAGCCGCUCAUCCUCCUUUCUCUCUAUAAUCCCACCCCAUCGAAUUACCGUAAGGCUUCUCCCCACCUCGACCUCAGACCUUUCUUCCCUGUGUCCCCGAUCCCUGUUUACUUGGCUACAGAGGGUUGGAAAUAGCCCCACACU
rnacentral:lncRNA from 1 species